rnacentral:rRNA from 1 species
AGUGAACGCUGGCGGUAGGCCUAACACAUGCAAGUCGAACGGCAGCACAGUAAGAGCUUGCUCUUACGGGUGGCGAGUGGCGGACGGGUGAGGAAUACAUCGGAAUCUACUUUUUCGUGGGGGAUAACGUAGGGAAACUUACGCUAAUACCGCAUACGACCUACGGGUGAAAGCAGGGGAUCUUCGGACCUUGCGCGAUUGAAUGAGCCGAUAUCGGAUUAGCUAGUUGGCGGGGUAAAGGCCCACCAAGGCGACGAUCCGUAGCUGGUCUGAGAGGAUGAUCAGCCACACUGGAACUGAGACACGGUCCAGACUCCUACGGGAGGCAGCAGUGGGGAAUAUUGGACAAUGGGCGCAAGCCUGAUCCAGCCGUACCGCGUGGGUGAAGAAGGCCUUCGGGUUGUAAAGCCCUUUUGUUGGGAAAGAAAAGCAGCAGGUUAAUACCCCGCUGUUCUGACGGUACCCAAAGAAUAAGCACCGGCUAACUUCGUG